CCUACGGGGGGCAGCAGUGGGGAAUAUUGCGCAAUGGGCGAAAGCCUGACGCAGCCACGCCGCGUGGGUGAUGAAGGCCCUCGGGUUGUAAAGCCCUGUCGGGAGGGACGAAGUUCUGACGGUACCUCCCAAGAAAGCACCGGCUAACUCCGUGCCAGCAGCCGCGGUAAUACGGAGGGUGCGAGCGUUGCUCGGAAUUAUUGGGCGUAAAGCGUACGCAGGCGGCUCGAUAAGUCGAGUGUGAAAUCCCGGAGCUCAACUCCGGACGUGCAUUCGAUACUGUCGGGCUUGAGUGCGGGAGAGGGAAGCGGAAUUCCUGGUGUAGAGGUGAAAUUCGUAGAUAUCAGGAGGAACACCGGUGGCGAAAGCGGCUUCCUGGCCCGACACUGACGCUCAUGUACGAAAGCGUGGGGAGCAAACAGGAUUAGAUACCCCUGUAGUC
rnacentral:rRNA from 1 species